rnacentral:rRNA from 1 species
UUAAUCUAUUUAAAGCAUUUAGUGGAUGCCUAGACAGAAGAAGAGAAGGGACGUUAAACGCAACGAAACGCCAGAGAUAGGUGCGUCAAUCCAUAAAUCUCUGGAUUUCCUUAAGAAAACUCUAUGAUUAUCAAUUACCUAGUGAACUGAAACAUCUAAGUAACUAGAGGAAAAAAAAUCAACCGAGAUUCCGUUAGUAGUGGUGAGCGAAUGCGGAGUAGGCCUUCAUUUCUUUCUUUUUUUUGGGGUUAAAUUUGUUUGGAACAACAAGCCAAAGAAGGUGAUAGCCCUGUAGACACCCAAAAAAAAACAAAAAAAAUGAAAAAAAAUGAGUAAAACGAAGAUCACCUUUGUUUGAAUUGAAGAUUUAUUUUUUUUAAAUCUUCUCAAGGGGGACCACCCUCUAAGCCUAAAUAUAUUCUUCUGAUCGAUAGUGAACUAGUACCGUGAGGGAAAGGUGAAACAGAGCGUUAAACAAAGCAGUGAAAAAGAUCCUGAAACUGAAUGCUUACAAGCAGUCGAAGCUUUUUUUAAGAGUAACGGCGUACCUUUUGCAUAAUGGGUCAGCGAGUAAAUUUAUGGAGCAAGCCUAAGCUCAUAAGUGGAGGCGGAGUGAAAGCAAGCUUGAAAAGAGCAAAUAAGGUAAACUUUUUCUUCUUUGGAGAAAAAAAAACCUGCGAAGUUCCAUAAAUUUGACCCGAAACCAAGCGAUCUAAUCAUGAGCAGGUUGAAAAAAUGAUAAUACGUUUUGGAGGACCGAACCCACAUCUGUGGCAAUAGAUGGGGAUGACUUGUGAUUAUGGGGUGAAAAGCCAAUCGAGCUUGGAAAUAGCUGGUUUUCUGCGAAAUCUAUUGAGGUAGAGCGUAUCGGAGCCAAAUAAAAUUAUUUGGUUAGCAAGGUAAAAAGGAGGUAGAGCACUCAUUGGGUGAUGGUGGCCCAAAGCCUUACUGAUCCCAGGGAAACUCCGAAUACCUUUUUAUUCGCGAUACAGACAGACUUGAGGCGCUAAGGUCUCAAGUCGAAAGGGAAACAACCCAGAUCGAACGCUAAGGUUCCAAAGCAAAUUCUGAGUGGUAAAGGAAGUUACUAGGCGAAGACAACCAGGAGGUAGGCUUGGAAGCAGCCAUCCUUUUAAGAAAGCGUAAUAGCUCACUGGUCUAUGUCUAGUAGCACCUAAAAUGUAUCGGAGCUCAAGAAUUUCACCGAAGCGGCGAUUUUCAAUCAGAGUCAACUCAUUCAUUGACAAAAACAUUGUUUUUGUCGCGAAUUGAAAGUGUGUCGAUUGAAAAGGUAGCAGAACGUUCUGUAAGUCAACGACGCUUCAUUGUAAAAUGAAGUAGAGAUAUCAGAAGUGAGAAUGCUGACAUGAGUAACGACAAAUCAUGUGAAAAUCAUGAUAGCCGAAAGUCCUAGGUUUUCUACAGACCGUAUCUCGGUGUAGAGUGAAUCGGCCCCUAAAAGAAGAGCGACAGCUUGGUCUUGAUGGGUACAAUGUAAAAAAAUUCAUUGAUGUAAAAUUUAGUGACGGCCAUUCAUCUCCUUACCAAGUUAAUGGAUAUCUUGGCGUUCUCUUUAGAGAAAAAAAGGAGAGAUUGGUCCAGGAAAUAACUAGAUUUUAUUCUAAAUUUUUUUAAUUUAGAAAAAAACACCGUACUUAAACCGACACUGGUGGACUUGUUGUAAAAACUAAGGCUAAGAGAGAAUCAUGUUGAAGGAACUCGGCAAAUUACCUCCGUAACUUCGGAAAAAGGAGGACAUGGAGCAAUUUUCUAAUUUUAGAAAAUUGCCCGUGUGUCACAAAAGAGGGGGUGGCGACUGUUUACUAAAAACACAGGACUCUGCUAAGUGGUAACACGAUGUAUAGGGUCUGACACCUGCCCGGUGCUGGAAACUUAACAGGAGGGGUGCGCACAUGGUGCCUUAUUUCUUACAAAAAACUCUGUUUUUUGUAAGAAAUAAGGUAAAAAGUGUGCAAGCUCUAAAUGCAAGGCCCAGUAAACGGCGGCCGUAACUCUGACGGUCCUAAGGUAGCGAAAUUCCUUGUCGGGUAAGUUCCGACCUGCAUGAAUGGUGUCACGACUUCCCCGCUGUCUCCAACAUGAUCUCAGUGAAAUUGAAUUCUCCGUGAAGAUGCGGAGUUCCCGAAAGUAGACGGUAAGACCCUAUGCACCUUUACUAUAAUUUAACAUUGAAAAAAGAGUCUGAAUGUGUAGAAUAGGUGGGACAAGGCUUAGCCUAGCUAAGUCUUGGUCAAUGAAAUACCACCCUUUCUUUCUCAUUUUUCUAACCUUCCAAAAUGAAAAACAGAAAAAAAUAAAAACGCUUUAUACCUUUUCUGGGAAAGGACACUGUUAAAUGGGUAGUUUGACUGGGGCGGUCGCUUCCUAAAGAGUAACGGAAGUGUGCGAAGGUAAGCUCAAGCUGGACGGAAAUCAGCUGUAGAGCGUAAUGGUAUAAGCUUGCCUGACUGUAAGACUUACAAGUCAAGCAGAGACGAAAGUCGGCCAUAGUGACCCGGGAGUUCUUGGUGGAAAGGCUCUCGAUCAACGGAUCAAAGGUACGCUAGGGAUAACAGGCUGAUGACUCCCAAGAGCUCUUAUCGACGGAGUCGUUUGGCACCUCGAUGUCGACUCAUCGCAUCCUCGAGCUGAAGAAGGUUCGAAGGGUUCGGCUGUUCGCCGAUGAAAGCGGUACGUGAGUUGGGUUUAGUACGUCGUGAGACAGUACGGAUCCUAUCUUUUUCGGGUGUUAAAAAUUGAGAGAACCAUUCCCUUGUACGAGAGGACCGGGAAUGACGAACCUCUAGUGUAUCAGUUGUUGCGCCAGCAGCAUCGCUGAGUAGCUACGUUCGGAACGUAGAACUGCUGAAAGCAUCUCAAGCAGGAAUUCGUUUCUCAAAACAAGUUUUUGAGUCGUAGAAGACUACUACGUAAUAGGCGAGAUGUGUACUCAUAGUGAUAUGAAAGCUAACUCGUACUAACUCAUAUAAAGUCUCUAGAAA